GGGGCAACUGCAACAGAGGGGAACCUUUGUAGCUUCCCAAAUUCACAGCUCGUGAGGGUGGGUGUGGGGGAAGCUUUCUGCAGGGAGAAGAAGGAUUUCUCUCCUUGCCAGUAUUUGCAAAGCAGGUUGUGUUAGGGAGAGACUGCAAUGCCAGCAUCCCAGCCGCGGUCCAGGGCAAGAGACAGGAACAAUGUCCUCAACAGGGCUGAGUUCCUCUCCCUGAAUCAACCCUUGAAGGGGAACCAGGAGAGCCGGAGCUCCAGCAGAAAGCAGAGCGCCCAGGCUGGGGCAGCUGGUGCCCAGAACAGCAACCCCAAGGAGCGGAGGCAGUCGCAGCAGCUGCCCGAAGAGGACUGCAUGCAGCUCAACCCCUCCUUCAAGGGAAUCGCCUUCAACUCCUUGCUGGCCAUCGAUAUCUGCAUGUCUAAGAGGCUGGGAGUCUGUGCUAACAGAGCCUCCUCCUGGGGUGGUGCCCGCUCCAUGAUUAACCUCCUGGGGAUAACAGGGCAUGGGAUCCCCUGGAUUGCGGGUACGCUCAUCUGCCUGGUAAAGAGCAGCACGCUGGCAGGUCAAGAGGUCCUCAUGAACCUGCUGCUAGCCCUGCUUCUAGACAUUAUGAUUGUGGCUGGUUUGCAGAAGCUGGCCAAGCGGAAGGGCCCGUAUGACGUCAGCCCUGGCUUGUUGGACUACCUGACCAUGGACACCUACGCGUUUCCAGCCGGGCACGCCAGCCGAGCAGCCAUGAUCUCCAAGUUCUUCCUCAACCACCUAGUCUUGGCCAUCCCUCUCCGGAUCCUGCUGGUCCUCUGGGCCCUCUGCGUGGGCUUUUCCCGUGUCAUGAUCGGACGGCACCACAUCACAGAUGUCCUGUCUGGCUUUGUUUUUGGCUACUUACAGUUCAGGCUGGUGGAGUUGAUAUGGAUGUCUUCCAACACGUGUCAGAUGUUGAUAUCCAUCUGGUGAACAUGGGGACUUGAUGCCUUUCCACUGGAAACUAACAGAUACUUUAAGAGUCUCCCUCCCAGUAUUUUCUACAUGUUGUUUGUUGGAAGCAGUUGUAACUUCCAUGAGUAGUGGCAUUUUUUAAUGUUGCUUCCCCACCUGAAAAAACCCACACGUUUCUUGCAAUUGGGUUUUAGCAAUCAAGGGCUGUAAAUGUGUUUUGGCCAUAUUCUCAAACUGCGUUUGGACAGCAACCUAAUUAUGCUUUACAGCAAUGCGUGUGAGCUGGAGGACGGCCGGUACCCCGCCUCUGCUCGCUUGGCUGUAACCUCAUACAGGUAAAUUCUGAACAUUUCUGUGCCUCACCCUGUAUGAAAUGACGAGAGUGUUCCUGACCAUCCUUGAUUGCAAGGCUGAGCUAACUGAUGUCUGAGAUUACUGAAUAUAGAGUUUGAUGCCCAGACGAGGUGCCGUUGCUAUCCAUUAUUGACAAGCAGUCACCUUGAAACCUGGCAGACCUUUCCCAGGUGAUGGCCGUGCCCAGCGUGGUGUCUCUGAACCUGACCAACCCUCACAAGUAAGAAAAUCCCAUAUUUUGCACAGAACCUUCCCGUUCUCUGUGGUUUCUCUGUCUUUAGAAGAGAGUUGGAUGUUUGGCAGGUGAUGGACACUUCCAGACUCAGCACCUUCCCUGGCUGGAUGCAUCCUGCAGAAUGAAGGGAUCCUGUCAUCCGUGUCCUCCUGUCUGUCCCAAGUGAGCAAAAUGCACCUGGUGUGCAAGGCCAGGGAGCAAUCAGCUGGAUCUUGUGCUCUCAUCUGUCCCUGCAUGUUGGGGAGCCUCUUCCUGCAGGGGCUGCUGCGGGUGAAGGAUUUCAGCCCACAGCACCAGGCAAAACCCCACUCUCAUGUGGCAGAGCAGGUACUUGACGCCUUGGCCUCCUCUCUGAGUACCGGUGGCAUGCGUGGGACCGGCACACAGCAGGAUUCACAUGCUGACCAGGCUGUGAUCAUCCCAUCGCAGAUCAAAGUCGUGCUUGUCAGCGACAGCGAGAGCCUGCUUGCUUACAGCAGGGGUUGCAGUUCUACCAAAAUCACUUAUUCUCGUCAGCUUCAUCGCAUUCAGAAGCAGCUGAUAGUUCCCUUUGGCGGGGUGAAGCGAGAUAUUUUUGAACUGUGAAACAACAGCUGUCUCGCAACAUGUAGAGCAGAGGAAUCAGAUGAUUGUGAUUGAAGGUUGGAACCGUGAACCUAAAUGUGUCCGUGAGCUUACAUUCCUGCCACGUCUGUGGUCAUUAUGAGGGUUUCAAGACAGGAAACAAAAUUAUGUGUUACUUUGUAUCUGGACUGAAUAUUGGGCAUUGCAAAAUCAAUUACUUUACCUUAAAAUUCCUUCAAUA